rnacentral:rRNA from 1 species
UACGAAGGGUGCAAGCGUUACUCGGAAUUACUGGGCGUAAAGCGUGCGUAGGUGAUUCGUUAAGUCUGCUCUGAAAGCCCGGGGCUCAACCCCGGGAGGCGGGUGGAUACUGUCAAGCUCGAGUCCGGAAGAGGAGUGUGGAAUUCCUGGUGUAGCGGUGAAAUGCGCAGAUAUCAGGAGGAACACCGGUGGCGAAGGCGGGUCUCUGGGCAGUAACUGACGCUGAGGAGCGAAAGCGUGGGGAGCGAACAGG